UACGGAGGGUGCGAGCGUUGUUCGGAAUCACUGGGCGUAAAGGGCGUGUAGGCGGUCCGCUAAGUCUGAUGUGAAAGCCCGGGGCUCACCCCCGGAAGUGCAUUGGAAACUGGCGAACUCGAGUCCCGGAGAGGAGAGUGGAAUUCCUGGUGUAGCGGUGAAAUGCGUAGAUAUCAGGAGGAACACCGGUGGCGAAGGCGGCUCUCUGGACGGUGACUGACGCUGAGACGCGAAAGCGUGGGGAGCGAACAGG
rnacentral:rRNA from 1 species